CAUAUGAUAAUAUAUAUUAUACGAUCGGGAGAAGUUAAGUCGUCCUUCAUAUUCUUAUACGGGUGGAUUUAAGUGGACAAGGUGCUUGUGUUAAAUCAAUGAUAUACAUUUAUUGUUUGGAUUUUUAUUUUUUUAUUUUUUUUUUUUUAUUUGAUAAUAUUUCGCCCAAACGAACGUGUUGCAUUUCAUUAAGUUUCUGGAUUUUUCAUGGUAUGUGCAUAUUAUUACGACAGUUUGACUAUUUAGAACCAAAUAAAUGUUAGCAAAAUAACAACAAAAGAAAUACAUAGAGA